rnacentral:rRNA from 1 species
AUUGAACGCUGGCGGCAUGCUUUACACAUGCAAGUCGAGCGGCAGCGCGGGGGCAACCCUGGCGGCGAGCGGCGAACGGGUGAGUAAUGCAUCGGAACGUAUCCUCGAGUGGGGGAUAACCCAGCGAAAGUUGGGCUAAUACCGCAUGAGCUCUGAGGAGGAAAGCGGGGGACCUGCGAGGGCCUCGCGCUGGAGGAGCGGCCGAUGUCCGAUUAGCUAGUUGGUGGGGUAAAGGCUUACCAAGGCGACGAUCGGUAGCUGGUCUGAGAGGAUGAUCAGCCACACUGGGACUGAGAUACGGCCCAGACUCCUACGGGAGGCAGCAGUGGGGAAUUUUGGACAAUGGGGGCAACCCUGAUCCAGCCAUGCCGCGUGAGUGAAGAAGGCCUUCGGGUUGUAAAGCUCUUUCGGACGGAACGAAAUGGGCGGGACUAAUACUCCUGUCUGAUGACGGUACCGUAAGAAGAAGCACCGGCUAACUACGUG